rnacentral:ribozyme from 13 species
UUCUAAUUCUUCUUCUUCUUCUUUUACUACUUCUUCUUCUUCUCGUAAAUCUCAUAAAUCUCCAAGAAAGAGAGAGAGGAAGGAAGAGA